CUUAUUAACAAAUUAAUUCCUAAGAAAGUAGGCGUCCUAACGGACUUAAUCUCUAACAAAGGGGCCCGCCGAGGACUAAAUAGCCUAUAGGCAUUAGCUUAUAGCUUGUAGAACUCGGUGUAAGCCGAGAUUUUUUUAUCCCUCA
rfam:Candidatus Doudnabacteria bacterium RIFCSPLOWO2_02_FTLL_48_13 rifcsplowo2_02_scaffold_2813, whole genome shotgun sequence.